ACAAAGCUCCAAAACGCCACAACCGCCGCCCAACCUGCGCAGGUCCCACCCACUCGCUGGCGCUCGAACAGGAAGUCCUGUAACCCUCGGUCUUCCGCCUUUCAAUGGCCUGCCCACUCUCGCUGGCACGCGCCGCCUCCGCGCACGGGACAGAUUAACUUACUUGGAAUGAUGCAAGGCUUAUAUACUUUGGGGAAUGGGAGUAGGGUAGGAACAUCUAGGAUGGGCAAAGGUCACUGGAUAAAGGCUUAAGGUACCAGGAUGCCUCAUUAACAUGGAGAGGCAUCCAGAAAUCUCAGGUGCUAGCUGAACAGGUUCAUAUUGGGAGGAAGAAAGUUGAACCUGUAAUCUUAACCAAGGCUAUGUGAUACUCUGCAGGUAGAGGUACUCUUUUUCUAAAGAAGAAGAAGAAGAAGAAGAAGAAGAAGAAGAAGAAGAAGAAGAAGAAGAAGAAGAAGAAGAAGAAGAAGAAAUGAAAGAAAGAAAUAGAGAGAGAGAAAGAAAGAAAGAAAGAGAGAGAGAGAGAGAAAGAAAGAAAGAAAGAAAGAAAGAAAGAAAGAAAGAAAGAAAGAAAGAAAAUUACUUUUCAAGUCUUAGUAUCAUGUAUAAUCUGGCUAUUUGGGGAGGAAAAGGUAAAACUGAGAAGGGGAUAAGACAAGGAAUUCUAUUUCUAGCUAGCUGGGAACUCAUUUUAUCUUCUCAAUGGGUGGGGGCAUGCUAUCCUGUAGAGUCCUGUUUAUAUUUCAAAUAAC
rnacentral:lncRNA from 1 species